rnacentral:pre_miRNA from 1 species
ACAUAAAUCACCUGGGGACCUUGUUAGAAAUGCAGAUUCUGAUCCAUCAGGUCGGAAUGGGGCCUGGGAUUCUGCGUUUCUAAUAAACUCCCAGGUGAUUCUGAU